UUUGCUUUUGUACACCUUGACUAUAUAAAUUAGUUAAAUACCCAUUUCUAAACAUACUUUUAUAAAGAAACCCUAUACCAUUCAAUAUAUAUAAACACAUCCAAAAUAAACCUAAAAAUUGACAGUUGUCGAUUUUUUAAACUCAAUAGCUAUGUUGGAUUACUGUUUUGCCAUUUUGCUUUGUCUAUUAAUCAACUCAAUCUUCAUCAACACACAUCUCAAACUUUCUUCUUCUUCAACAAUCGAGCUCUGCUUCUGCUUUUCUCCUAAUCCAAUUCCCAUUUAAUCUUCAUCGUCUCCACCACAGCCCUCGCCGGCUCCAUCACCACAACCCAUCGCCGAUUCACCUUUGCCUAAAACUCUAUCUCCGAUUUCCCUUCCUCCAUCUCCGUCGGACACUCCAAUGAACGCACCAUCCUUCUUCAUCUCCGACGCCACCGCAAUCAUCUUUGUCUCAAUCUCCGUCGGCCGACGACACACCUCCAGUUCCUUCUCCAGCAUUGUCGAAUCUGAGCAACGUCAACCACAACAACCUCAACGCAGACGGAGUAGAGACCUUUGUUCAAAUCAACAAUUCCAAAAACGCCGAUAUGCCAAACUGGAGAAGUUUCGAUGUGGGAAAAAGAGUUAUGGGCUCAAGUUGCUUGAUGAUAUAUUUAAAGGGCAAUUUCUCAGAGAUUAUGGAAAGCCUUAAAAAGAGGUUCAAAAAAAAGAAUUUUCUGAAUAAGAUCAAGUACAAAUAGAAACCAUACCCCGUAUAGAGUUUCCAUAAUAAAUCUACCAUCCUUAGAGGCACAAGGUAUGGUGCCUUGCUGAAAGAAGGUGACCUGCAUCAAGGAAGUGCGAAGUAAGCAAAAUCAUCCCAGAACUAAAGCCUUAUUCACAAAGUUUAAGAAAAAAUAAUCUGAAAACUUCUUACCUGGUCAGCUUCAUGACCAAAGUAUUUUUGACUUUCAAAAAAUUUCCGUGUGGCUUGAUCAGUAAAUGAACUAAGAAAUCCUUUGGAGGAAUGAGUCCGGCAAAGAAGGCAGGGAUCGUACUUGGAUUGAGCGUUGGAUAAAAUUGGAUACGCCGCUAGGAGAGAGAUUCUCUGAAGAACUACUCAGUCUCUCAUGCACAAAAGCUCUUAGAGAGGUAUUUCCUUUUGCCUUUGCGAUUGUUUCUGGUGAAACUGUGAACAAUUGGAGGUGGUUUCUGCAAAGGAUAUAUAUCGGAUGUCUUGCUGGGCCUUUUUUUGGGUUUUUUGAGUUUUUUGUAUGAAAUGGUAUUAACAAUGUACUUCUAUGACAUGGUAUUAGUAAUGUACUUCUAUGACAUGGUAUUAUCAAUGUACUUCUAUGAUAUGAUAUUAACAAAGUACUUCGGGUUUGCUGGGCUUGUUUUGGGUUUUUUUUUUGAGUUUCUUGUGUUGGGCUUAUUUUAAGUAAAUCAAUGGCAGUCAUAUAAUUUAUAGGAACUUUAACACUCAUUUCUUAUGUAGUAAAUGGAUUUUAAGUGUGUUUCUAAAGUGCAUUUCAUGUGGAGUUUUUUUUAUUUAUUUAUAAUUUUAAUCCCUAUUUUGGAUAUAUUAGUGAAGCUCCCAUAAAUGUAUUGCUUUAUAUUUAACAAUUAUUACCCUGAAAUUUGAACUCGUAGAAGAAAAAGUAUCAAUGUGCUUGUCAGUGUCUGUUCUUAGAGGGUUCUCCCGCAUAAAUUUUGGGUAUAUUUCCUUUAUAAAAAAAUGAAACAAUUUGACAACGUACUUUGCACGUUGUAGAACUUAAAGAUAUCACGACAUGCAUGUUUGCCUUGCGAAAUAAGGACCGCCUAUAAUAUUGCGUUCCAGUUGUAAGUGGAUAAGGACCACCUUUGUCCUC